UCUCGUGCUGUGACCCUUUAGAGGGAAGCACUUUCUGUUGUCUGAAAACAAAGAAUGUGCAUCCUUUCAGAGGGUUACUCUUUGAGA
rnacentral:pre_miRNA from 8 species